CCUACGGGAGGCAGCAGUGGGGAAUCUUGCGCAAUGGGCGAAAGCCUGACGCAGCCAUGCCGCGUGAAUGAUGAAGGUCUUAGGAUUGUAAAAUUCUUUCACCGGGGGACGAUAAUGACGGUACCCGGAGAAGAAGCCCCGGCUAACUUCGUGCCAGCAGCCGCGGUAAUACGAAGGGGGCUAGCGUUGCUCGGAAUUACUGGGCGUAAAGGGAGCGUAGGCGGAUAGUUUAGUCAGAGGUGAAAGCCCAGGGCUCAACCUUGGAAUUGCCUUUGAUACUGGCUAUCUUGAGUAUGGGAGAGGUUAGCGGAACUCCGAGUGUAGAGGUGAAAUUCGUAGAUAUUCGGAAGAACACCAGUGGCGAAGGCGGCUAACUGGCCCAUUACUGACGCUGAGGCUCGAAAGCGUGGGGAGCAAACAGGAUUAGAUACCCUGGUAGUCCACGCCGUAAACGAUGAGUGCUAGUUGUCGGCAUGCAUGCAUGUCGGUGACGCAGCUACGACAUAAGUACACUCCGCCGUCGGGAGGUACGGUCGCGAGAUUAAACUACGAAGAAGUAGACGGCGUGAGACGUGCCGACGGACGACGACGAGGGAGGUUAGG
rnacentral:rRNA from 1 species